AAAAUAUUAAAGGUUAAGAUAUGUAAUCUAAAAAUAAAAUAUUUAAUUAUAAUUAUUAAUUAGCAAAAAUAUUUAGCCUUUCUGUCUUUCUGUCUAGUAGACUAGUGUGAGUGUGUAGAUAUAUAUAUAUAACAAAAAUUUGGCCCUGAGGUCGUUAUGUGGUCCGAGCCUAAGGCGAGCCUCAAGGAAAGAGUUCAAGAAACAAUAAGAUUCAGUCAGAGCAUUCGAUUUCUAUGGCUGUGAAUUUUUA
rnacentral:misc_RNA from 1 species